AGAGUUUGAUUCUGGCUCAGAACUAACGCUGGCGGCGUGCCUAAUACAUGCAAGUCGAACGCGAAAGUCCUUCGGGAUGAGUAGAGUGGCGCACGGGUGAGGAACACGUGGGUAAUCUGCCCAGAGAUGGGGAAUAACCUCUCGAAAGAGAGGCUAAUACCGCAUAAGACCACAGCUACUACGGUAGUAGGGGUUAAAAGUGAUCACUGUUUACAAAUUAUUGUCUCUGGAUGAGCCUGCGCAGCAUUAGCUAGUUGGUGGGGUAAUGGCCUACCAAGGCUACGAUGCUUAGCUGGUCUGAGAGGAUGAUCAGCCACACUGGAACUGAGACACGGUCCAGACUCCUACGGGAGGCAGCAGUAGGGAAUAUUGCUCAAUGGGGGAAACCCUGAAGCAGCAACGCCGCGUGAGUGAUGAAGGCCUUCGGGUCGUAAAGCUCUGUUGUACGGGAAGAACGCGGAUAUGGCUAACAUCCAUAUCCAGUGACGGUACCGUAUAAGAAAGGACCGGCUAACUUCGUGCCAGCAGCCGCGGUAAGACGGGGGGUCCUAGCGUUGUUCGGAAUCAUUGGGCGUAAAGCGUGUGCAGGUGGUCAGGUAAGUUGGAUGUGAAAGCCCCGGGCUUAACUCGGGAAGUGCAUUCAAAACUACCUAACUUGAGUAAGGAAGAGGUUCGUGGAAUUCCUGGUGUAGUGGUGAAAUACGUAGAUAUCAGGAGGAACACCGGCGGCGAAGGCGGCGAACUGGUCCUAUACUGACACUCAUACACGAAAGCGUGGGGAUCAAACAGGAUUAGAUACCCUGGUAGUCCACGCUGUGAACGAUGGAUACUUGGUGUUGAAGGUAUUGACCCCUUCAGUGCCGGAGCUAACGCGUUAAGUAUCCCGCCUGGGGAGUACGGUCGCAAGAUUAAAACUCAAAGAAAUUGACGGGGGCCCGCACAAGCGGUGGAGAAUGUGGUUUAAUUCGAUGCAACGCGAAAGACCUUACCUGGGUUUGGCAUCCUCUGAACGCCGUAGAGAUACGGAAGGCCCGAAAGGGACAGAGAGACAGGUGCUGCAUGGCUGUCGUCAGCUCGUGUCGUGAGAUGUUGGGUUAAGUCCCGCAACGAGCGCAACCCUUAUCUUUAGUUGCCAGCAUUAAGUUGGGCACUCUAAAGAGACUGCCAUCGUUAAGAUGGAGGAAGGCGGGGAUGACGUCAAGUCCU
rnacentral:rRNA from 1 species